rnacentral:lncRNA from 1 species
GCCCAAGAGCGAGCCCAUGGUCUUCCGACGCGGGGCCAGGGGCGGGCCCCAGGAUCCGGAGCUUCGUGCGGGGCCGAGUCCAGGUUUGGGGCCCGGGAGGCGGGGCCAGUUAGGGCGACUGUCCCUGGGAUCGUCGGGUCAGGCCUUGGGCUAACGUAGGCACUCUCGCAGUUCCUCCGCCUUCAGGAAGGUCUUUUCAGCAGGGGCCUUACGGGUGCAUGCUUCGGUCCUGGAGGCCUUAUCCUAGCCUCCUCUCCAUCAGCGCCACCCGUCUGGGGCCCGAAAGGAGGGAGCUUUCCCUCUGUCCCCCAGCCUUUGGACUGUCACCAAACAAGCCAUUCGUUCAUCAAAUACUUUUUAAGCGCCUACCAUGUGCCUGACAAGGGAGAUGUAACGGUGAGAAAAACUAGGUGUGGUCCAGGCCCUUCAGGGGCUCAGGUGCUCGUGGAAGAAGUGGACAUUGAAGUACUUAUCACACAAAUGAGGAUAAAAGUACGAUAGCGAUAUCUACCACGAAGGGUCUCUCUCUCUGCCACCCAGGCCAGAGUGCAGUUGACGCAGGGCAGGGGAGCCCCGAAGUGGAGCAUAGUGUGUCCGGAACUGGUGGGUUCUUGGUCUCACUGACUUCAAGAAAGAAGCCGCGGACCCUCGCGAAAUGAGGCUUCUCCCCAGGACCAGCAUUCCACGAAGGCAGCCCUUUUCUAGAUGGAGAAAACAGAACCUGAAGACACCCGUUUCCCUAAACUGCUCUCGCUCAUG